GGGAUGGUGGCUCAGACGGUAAAGCAUCUGUCUGCAAUGCAGGAGACCUGGGUUCUAUCCCU
rnacentral:tRNA from 1 species